GAAGGAGGAUGGGAAAUAGAGAUAACCCGGCGGCCAUGCCGGAAGACGGGAGGAACCGGUCUGCGGUCAAGGAAACGGAUGUUUUACUUUCCACGGGAGGUUGCGGUGCAUUCCCAAAGGAGAAGAAUGAUGAAAUACCAAGUUCCGCCCAAGGGAACAUAAAGAGAGAAACGGAACUUCCAAUUCCUAAGGAGUUGUUCACUGUUCUGGGUGAAUGAAAAGGAGGAGGAGGACGGAAUAAUAUACUCCCGGCAGCGUUUCUGAUCCGACAGAAGUUAUUAUCAAUGGAACUGGCAACAAACAUAUUCCAAUCUGAUUCUGCCGGAAACCGGAAUGCGUUCCCGUGUGGUCACUCGUGGCUUCCGUAGAAUUCACGGAAGCAGCCCCGUUUUUUUCGUACUCGUACUCCACAAAACCCACGUUUCCUCGUACUCCGGUAAACAUCAAUCCGUCGGAGAUCCAAGAUCGUCGCCAAGGCGUCGCAUCCGGGUUUUGAUCAGCUCGUUGAGGAACAAAAGUCCAACACGACCAAGAUGCUGCCACGGCCGCCUCAGAAGAACACCAACACCCAAGCCGGAAGCUGUGGUCUAGGCAAAUCCAGAAGGAAGCCAAGCUGGGGAAGAAUCGGCGAUCCGCAAGUGAAAUAAAGUGUACAAUAAAUAUUUUUGUGAAAUUUUGACAGCUGGAA